GUCACAUGGAUAUUUUUGUAAUUUUAGAAUUGUUGGAAAGUUAUCUAGAUUUCUGUAGGAGUUUUUACUUAGUGUCCUUGUUGGUUAAGGGUACUUUUUGGAAGUCCAGAUCCUUAGAUGUUCAGGAUUACUUUUUGAGUUUAUAAAUGCAUAUGUUUGUAAUGUUGUUUCAAAGUUUUUGAUCAAUACAAUUUCCAGUACUUCAAGUUG
rnacentral:misc_RNA from 1 species